rnacentral:rRNA from 1 species
CCUACGGGUGGCAGCAGUGGGGAAUAUUGCACAAUGGGGGAAACCCUGAUGCAGCGACGCCGCGUGAGUGAAGAAGUAUCUCGGUACGUAAAGCUCUAUCAGCAGGGAAGAAAAUGACGGUACCUGACUAAGAAGCCCCGGCUAACUACGUGCCAGCAGCCGCUGUAAUACGUAGGGGGCAAGCGUUAUCCGGAUUUACUGGGUGUAAAGGGAGCGGAGACGGCAGCACAAGUCUGGAGUGAAAUCCCCGGGCUUAACCCCGGGACUGCUUUGGAAACUGUGCGGCUGGAGUGCUGGAGGGGUAAGCGGAAUUCCUAGUGUAGCGGUGAAAUGCGUAGAUAUUAGGAAGAACACCGGUGGCGAAGGCGGCUUACUGGACUGUAACUGACGUUGAGGCUCGAAAGCGUGGGGAGCAAACAGGAUUAGAUACCCCAGUAGUC